rnacentral:lncRNA from 1 species
AUAUGUGUGGCUUUGACUGUUGUCGAAUCACUUGUUUGUCUUAGUCGAACUGGGUUGACAGUUGACUGUAGUGGCCUUAGCCAUAAUAUUAUUGAUGGCCUUAGCCAUAAUAUUAUUGAUGGCCUUAGCCAUUUCGCGUUGAUGGCCGUAGCCAUGUAGUGUCGAUGGCCUUACUCGUUUUCUUAUUGGAGAUGGCCAUAGCUGUUUGUACGUAGAGAUGGCCUUAACCGUGUAUACACUGAAGAUGGCCUUAGCCUUUGAUACAUUGGAGAUGGCCUUCGCCGUUUUUCACAUUGGAGAUGGCCUAGUCGUUUAUACA